rnacentral:tRNA from 1 species
GCAUUGGUGGCUCAAUGGUAGAAUUCUCACCUCCCAUGCAAGAAACCUGGGUUCAGUUCCUGGCCAAUGUA